UACGGAGGGGGCUAGCGUUGUUCGGAAUUACUGGGCGUAAAGCGCGCGUAGGCGGACCUGCAAGUCGGGGGGUGAAAGCCCGAGGCUCAACCUCGGAACUGCCUUCGAUACUGCAGGUCUCGAGUCCGGGAGAGGUGAGUGGAAUUCCUAGUGUAGAGGUGAAAUUCGUAGAUAUUCGCAAGAACACCAGUGGCGAAGGCGGCUCACUGGCCCGGUACUGACGCUGAGGUGCGAAAGCGUGGGGAGCAAACAGG
rnacentral:rRNA from 1 species